rnacentral:rRNA from 1 species
GUGGGGAAUAUUGCGCAAUGGGGGAAACCCUGACGCAGCGACGCCGUGUGAGGGAAGAAGGCUUUCGGGUCGUAAACCUCUGUCAGAAAGGAAGAACCUCCCAAGUCCGAAUAGGGCUUGGGACUGACGGUACUUUCAAAGGAAGCACCGGCUAACUCCGUGCCAGCAGCCGCGGUAAUACGGAGGGUGCAAGCGUUAAUCGGAAUCACUGGGCGUAAAGCGCGCGUAGGCCGCUUUGUAAGUCGGACGUGAAAGCCCUCGGCUCAACCGGGGAACUGCGUUCGAUACUGCGAGGCUUGAGUCCUGGAGAGGGUGGCGGAAUUCCGGGUGUAGGAGUGAAAUCCGUAGAUAUCCGGAGGACCACCGGUGGCGAAGGCGGCCACCUGGACAGGUACUGACGCUGAGGCGCGAAAGCGUGGGGAGCAAACAGGAUUAGAAACCCGGGUAGUCC